GCUGGGCACAGUGGCACAUGCCUGUAAUCCCAGAGGCCAGGAGGCUGAGGCAAGAGGAUUGUGAGUUCAAAGCCAGCCUCAGCAACUCAGUGAGACCCUGUCUCUA
rnacentral:sRNA from 1 species